AUGAGAAGAGGGGCCCCCCGGGUCCCCACUUCAGUGCCCUCACCACAAGACCUCACUGCCCAUCCCUGCGUGGCUGGCGAAAGCAGCUCCGCUUGUUUCAGCAGCUCCCUGUGCAGACGUGGAAACGCAGCAUUUUCAAGGCGAAGAGCCCCCCAAGCCAGGAGCUGUUGCCGUGCGCUACACAGAGCCAGCGGUGCCUCCACCGCAGCCUUCAGCCGGGCAGGGCAGGCUCCCUGUGCGGCUUUCCGGGAGGCUCAGCGCCUUGCCAGGGCUCACGUGUACUUCAACGCUGCACAGGAGCCUCCAAAGCUGGACUGGCCGCAUAGAGUGUCCGCAGCGCCCUGCACCCUGGGACACUGCGGUGGAGCAGCUGCGCUCUGAGCUCGAACGCGGAGGCAGGCAAGCGCACGGAGCUGCUCCCUGCGUGAGCCUGCCACCAUGAGCUCACCGGGGUAACACAUGCAGACAGCCAUGGUGUCCCUGACCGUCAUCCCCCAACCCGCAGAGCGCCGCCUCUCACUGCAGGUGAGCACGACACCAUGUCCUCUCAAGCAGAGCAACUGAUUAACCUCUGAGUAACACAGAGUUCAGGAUGGAAGCAGCACAGUGCACGUCAAGGUACUCGGCUGCUGCAGCAGCAGUUCCGUGACAUCUCCCCUACGCGGUGAUGCAAAUGAUGACGUCAAGGCCGGGAGAUGCCCUCUUCAAGCAGAGGCACUGGCGCACUGGCCAACCCUGGGAGCAGACUGUGCGUACAACUCCCUAAUCCCCUUGUGUACCUGAAGAAGCAAAUACAGUGCAUCCUCCUGUUAAUAACAGUUUCAAUUAUUUUUGUGAAUGUCACUCUAUUGCCUUGAUGCGCGGCUCUCACAGUGGAGUUGAUGAUGGUCGCUACAAUUGUUUCUUUCGGGGAUGAUUUUUAAGCAGGCGCUCACAAUUGACUGAGAGGACGUUACUCUGCGGCCGGGCCGCAGGUACGGGCACACGGCGGAGGGCACCUGGGGCCGAGCACAACGCCUGGCGGUGCCGGUGCCGCUCGCUGCCCGGGGGCCGCCCCGCCGUGUUUACGGCUGAAUGAGGGGCGCAGCCGAGCAGCUGCGUCAGCGCGGGCUCCUGUUAUUAACAGUUUCAAUUAUUUUUGUGAAUGUCACUCUAUUGCCUUGAUGCGCGGCUCUCACAGUGGAGUUGAUGAUGCUCACUACAAUUGUUUCUUUUGGGGAUGAUUUUUUAGCAGACGCUCACAAUUUACCCGCAGGUACGGGCACACGGCGGAGGGCACCUGGGGCCGAGCACAACGCCUGGCGGUGCCGGUGCCGCUCGCUGCCCGGCGUGCGGGCAGCCCCCC
rnacentral:lncRNA from 1 species